UCACGGGCUACAGGUAGAUCGAGCCUGCGCUCAGUAGUCGUAGCAAGGUAGAGUUCGUUCCUGGCUCAGUCAGUCGUAGGAAGGUAGGGAGAGAUAGUGCCUGAUGGAGUCGGACCAAGGUAGGUAACGAUAGCUAAUACCGCAUAACGUCGCAAGACCAAAGUGGGGGACCUUCGGGCCUCAUGCCAUCAGAUGUGCCCAGAUGGGAUUAGCUAGUAGGUGGGGUAAUGGCUCACCUAGGCGACGAUCCCUAGCUGGUCUGAGAGGAUGACCAGCCACACUGGAACUGAGACACGGUCCAGACUCCUACGGGAGGCAGCAGUGGGGAAUAUUGCACAAUGGGCGCAAGCCUGAUGCAGCCAUGCCGCGUGUAUGAAGAAGGCCUUCGGGUUGUAAAGUACUUUCAGCGAGGAGGAAGGCGUUAAGGUUAAUAACCUUGGCGAUUGACGUUACUCGCAGAAGAAGCACCGGCUAACUCCGUGCCAGCAGCCGCGGUAAUACGGAGGGUGCAAGCGUUAAUCGGAAUUACUGGGCGUAAAGCGCACGCAGGCGGUUUGUUAAGUCAGAUGUGAAAUCCCCGGGCUCAACCUGGGAACUGCAUUUGAAACUGGCAAGCUUGAGUCUUGUAGAGGGGGGUAGAAUUCCAGGUGUAGCGGUGAAAUGCGUAGAGAUCUGGAGGAAUACCGGUGGCGAAGGCGGCCCCCUGGACAAAGACUGACGCUCAGGUGCGAAAGCGUGGGGAGCAAACAGGAUUAGAUACCCCUGGUAGUCCACGCUGUAAACGAUGUCGACUUGGAGGUUGUUCCCUUGAGGAGUGCCUUCCGGAGCUAACGCGUUAAGUCGACCCGCCUGGGGAGUACGGCCGCAAGGUUAAAACCUCAAAUGAAUUGACGGGGGUCU
rnacentral:rRNA from 1 species